UGCUGGAGGAGGAGUUUGCUUGGCCGCCUCUUCCUCAGGGAUGCUCUGGGAAAGCUCCAGCACAAAGGAGCGGCGCGGCGGGCAGGAGCGAGCGGAACCGGCGCCCCCCAGCCCCAGCCCGGCCCCCCGGGAGCAGAAUCCUCAUCAAGAAUAGGGCUCCUGCCAGGUAAAUGGAUUCUUGCCUGAUUUUCAAUGCUCCUGGGAGGAUUUGUAGGCAAAAUGCUGUUUUACUGCUUUGUCUCGAAGCCCCCAUUUCCUCCUAAAGCUGAUGAUCCUAGGCGGGGGUUAGAGGCGAGGCUGGGGCCAGCAGCCCCAGGGCACAGCCCAGGCCUUCCUCCCCCUCCGAGUUAACCUGGCAGAUGCUCUUCUUGCGGAGCCAUUUUCUCUCCCUCAUUGUCUCGCAGCCUUUUGUGUGUGCGGGUAGGUCCUGCCCUGGGAGCCAGGAGGAGCCCAGAAAUAAUCAGAUUUUCAGGCGUUGUGGGCUUGCAAGGAGCCAUUCACACCCCCACGCCCCCCUGCUGCCGGGCUGCCCGGCCCCAGAGCUGCAGACAAAGGCAGCAGCGCCUGGCACCCCUGCAGCAGCACCAGAGCCCGGGCUGUGCCAGAGCCUGGGCUCUGCUGGAUGGCAGCGAGGCUCGGGCAGCGCUGGCAGGGCACAGGGCCGGGGUGUCUGCCCACCCCACUGGGAUCUGGGGGGUCAGGGUGCACAGAUGGCACAUCCCAUAGACCAUCUCUCUAGGAUCUCUCGCCUGUUGUGCCCUCAUCUCCCUGUUCCUGCCCGCAGUGGAGCUUGUGCUCCUCUCCCUCCCUCUCUCCUCACUCGAGGAGGGGGUUUGGCCCCAUUUAAUUCGGGUGUCCAGCCCCCAGGGCCACUGUAUGUGCCACCCACACGUGUGGCAGAGGCAGCUCGAGCUCACGCCCAAGACGAAUGUUGAGGUGAGUCCUGUCUGUGCAAAAUUGUUUCUCCCUCCCUGUCCCCUGGGAUGUGCUUCAUUCCCAGGCCAGAGAGGCCAUCCUGCCCCAGCGCAGGCACCUCCCGCUCGGAUCCAGCAGGGGAUCCAUUUGCCAGAUGCUCAUUCCCGCUGCUCCGCCCCACCGCAGCUGGGCUGCAAAUGCCGCCUGGACGUGCUGUCCCCACGGCAGGGACUGUCCUGCCGGCAGCGCCUGCGGCGUGUGGUGACAAUGAGCGCGUGGUGACAAUGAGCGUGUGGUGACAAUGAGCCGUGGGAAGCAGGAGCGGCUCCGCAGCUGAACUGCAGAGUCAUCACGGCCCCGCUCCCCCGGGACCUGCUGCUGUCCUGGUUUGCCCGGGCAGGGCAGGGCAGGGCAGGUCACAGACAUGGGCUGGCUGCUGGCACCGGCCACAUGUCCCCAAAUCCCCGAGGAGGUGGAGCAGCACCCACCGCAGCGCGGCUGUGACCGCCAGUUGCCCCAGUUUAACCGGUGCCUGCGGAACCGCAGGGUACCAGUGACUCAGCUUUACCCCACGGCAGGGGCAGGGGCAGAGGUGGCAGCAGAAGUGACAGUGGCAGUCCCUGCCUCCAGUGCAGGGGUUACAGCAACAAGUAGGGACAGUUUGGGGCAUUGCCACCAUUUCUGGUGUGGUGGCUCCGAUGCCCCCCUGUGCCUGGUUCAGCUCCUUCACCCUGCAAGGGGACAGGGACAGGAAGGUCUGUGCCCAAGCCUCCUGCCAGGCUCCUGCCAGCUUGGCUGGGCUGUGCCUGAGGACAGGGCCCUGUUUCUCCCCCUUGCUGCGUUGGUUGUUUCUCUUGCAGCUGCUAAUGACUGACCUGAGGUCUGUUCACACAGUCCCCUCGCUGCCUCCACGGCACAGAGCCACGUGGAACAGGGGACAUUGCACAGCACUCCCGUAGCUGGUGACCACAGUGCCACCACCCCAGGGGCACGGCCCAGCUCCUGCCUGGCCAGACUGACCAUGUCCAGAGGGGAGCCGGGCUCAGGAGCUGCCGUCACAACCAGCACAUGAUGCCAGAGCCGGGCUGGCCCCAGCAGAGCACCCUGGUACCCACUGCCAUGGCGUGGAGCCACGAGCCCGGCCACUGCGGGGGACACGGCCCAGGAGACUGCGGUGGUGACACCUGAGGACACGGGGCUGCGCAUGCACACGGUUUUCCUGCAAGGUGCUGGGGUGUCCUUGCCUCCCGCUGCACCCCCCAGGCCUGUCUCCUUCCCUGAGCACAGAGUAGGAAGAGGGAGAAGGAAAAGGGAGUGGGGCAGAGCUGUGCCAGCUCCUCAUGGUGACACGAUGGCCAGAGCCCAAAGGGGCUCUGUCUGUCCCCACUGAUCCUGCCCUUCCCUCUGGCUGUUGGUGAAGUCCUGGUGCUUUCUGAACCACCUGGUGUGUGGAGCAUCCUGUAGCUUGGAGAGGAGCAUGGGCAGCGAAACCUCCUGCAGUGCCCUGUAAGCAGGUGGGACCAUGUCCUUGCCAAGCAGCCACUUGGGCCCAUGUCCCCACACAGGCAGAAGGACGGGGGUGCAGUGGGCUGGGGGCUGAGGGCAGACACAGCUCAUGGCAGGGGUUACAGCCUUGAAGUCCAAACUGGAAAAGCAUCCUUUUGGGGACCAGAGGUGCUCGUGCAGUGGGAGGAGGUGACCCAGAGGGACACAGGGCAGAGGGCCCAUCCCAGCCCUGUUUCUUGGGGCACAGUGCUCCUGCAGCCCUUGGAGCACUGCUCAGCCCCAUGGAGAGGAAGCUUCUGAUGGGGAGGGGGUAAGCUGUGGGUCACCUUUCCUCUGCUCCAUGGUGGUUUUCCCUGCUGGAUCUCCUCCUCCCUGCACGUGCAGUGGGAGCUUGCUGAAGUCCUGGAGCAGCUGUCGUGGUCUCUGCUGGAGCCUUAUCCCAGACACUGCCAGUCCUCCUCUGCUUCUUCCAGCUCCUUUAGAGUCCUUUAGGCACUGCUGGGACCAUGUCCUCCAUGCAUCCUGUCUCACGCCUUUCCCAGCCCCGGGGGGGGAAGUACAUGUUGUGAGGGGCCUCUGGUACCUCCCUGGCAGGGAUCAGAGGAGCAGAUGCCUGCUGAGCAUUUCAUUCAGGGACAGGCUCUGUCACACCGGCUGAACCCUCCACUAACACCUUCCCAAAUGUCAAAGCCCAAAAACGCCUCCUGCUCUUGUGAGCCAGAGCCCUGCUGCUGAUGGGCCUGGCUCUGCAUGCUGCCAAUAUUAACCUACUAACCUGCUGGGACCCCUGUGCCCUCCCCAGGGCUGCCACGGCCCCUGGCACACGGACUAACCCACUAACCAGCCCAGAGCAUGCCCUACUAACCCACAGCAGCCCUGCCUCGUGCCCACUAACCACGGCAGCAAGCGUUGACUUUAAAGAGGAACAGAAAAGCUGGAAAAUGGCUUUGGAAGUGCCAGGUGUCAGUGCCAGGCUGCACAGGCAGGGACAGGCAGGGGCAGCCCUGGCUGAGGGCAGGAGAGAGGACUGGCUGCCCAGCACUGGGCAGGAGUGGUGUUGGGCAGCUCCUGUCCGUGCAGGCAGCCCCUGUCCCGGGCAGGAGAGGGGACUGCUGGUCCCCAGGCAGGAGAGGGGAGCAGCAGCCCCUGUUCUGGGCAGGAGAGGGGUGCACCAGCCCCUGCCUGGGUCAGGAGAGGGGUGCACCAGCCCCUGCCCUGGUCAGGAGAGGGGAGCAGCAGCCCCUGCCCCGGGCAGCCCCCGGCAGCACGAGGAGAGGGUUUCUCCCCACACGCCCUGCCCAGCUCUGCCUGUGGAGCCUGUUGCUGACUAGGAGCCUAAAACGGUUUUAUCAGCAGAAGCUUUUCAGUUCCUUUUUAAGCCAGUAGAUCUCUGUUACUAACACAUUCCUGAACUGAAUUAAACAAACUAACCACUGCUGCUUUUCUCUUCAUUUCUCUUCCAGUGUGUGUGUCCUCUAAGGCAGACCAGUGCCCUGCUUCUGUUACUAACCUGUACUUCUGUUUCUACUGUACUAAUCCUCCCUGAUUGUUUCUCUCUUGCUACUAACAACUCUCUUUGCACUUUGCCUCUCGGGUGCUGUUUGCCAUGACAAGUGACAGUGGCUCCUCCUGGACUUAGUCACCUGCAGCACUCGAUUUUUCGUGCUGCUGAGCAUCCCUGGCUCCCAUUUGGUACCAUGGGAAAGAAGAUGCUCGGGCUGGGGCACUUUGAAUAUUUCCCUCUUGGCCCGUUUUCCAACAAAUUUCACGUGGCACAAUGAGGAGAAGAGGCUGAGUGGCAACAGGACAGUACAAACCCAUUAAUAAUGGCUGUAGAGGCCCAGCAAACCCCGUUUGCAAAGAGAUUCAUCCACAGAGCAAAGGCUGCCAUGAGCCUGAGCUUGGGGCUCUCCCGAGGCCUCGGGUCACCUGUCAUGGGGAAUGUUCUCGUGCUGCUCCCAGCAUUGGUGCUCCUGGGCUCCUCUCUUCACCCCCUCUGUCUCUCCACAGUUUAUCUUGUGCCUGGUGCAUGUGGAAGCCGCUGCUGGCAGCGUGGCCCUGACUAACCCAGCUCUGCGUCACCGCCGGGUCCCACUGCAGGGUCCCCUGGCCCCAGCCAAGGACAGGGGUGGGCAGUGGGUGUCACAGGGGCUCUGCCAUCAGGUGAUGGGGGCACAGCCUGGCCUUUUCUUUCUGUCCAUCUGUCAGCCAGAUGAACAUCCCCACCCUCUGCAGGGACCCUGCCAGGGUGAAGGAUCCAGGCCCUGGCCCGCUGCUGUGGGCUUGGCACAUGGCAAGGCACCGGUGGCGUUCAGGGCUGCCAUGACCAGGGGGACAGAGCUGAGCCCUGUGUGCCAGCAGAGGAUGGUGGCCUCGUGCUGCUGGCCCAUGAGGACAUCCCAGACUGUGCCUGUUGGGGGGACAAGGCACCCCUCAACCAAGGGUCACAGCAGCUUUGUCAGGGGGAGCAGAUCCAGACAGGGUCCAGCUCUGGCUGCUCUCUCUUGGCUUUGCCUUGUGCUCUUUGCUCCCAUGGCCAGGGCUUCCCCCAGCCACUGCUGUCACUGGCUGAUGUCACUGUCACCCCAUGGCAGCUCUCCUGCCUGCACUGGAAGGCAGAGCUGGACAGGGUCUCCUGGGUGGCCCCGUGACACUGUCACCUCCUCUGGGCAUCCCUGCUAGGCACUAAGCCCAGCCUGCUCCUUUACUGGGGGGUCUCUAUCAGGCUGUUGGGGGACCCCUCCCCACCCAGCUCUGUGUCUGUCCAACCUCCACCUUAUCCCCCUAAUCCCCCAAAGGCCCUUCCUCUGCACAGCUGCCACCAGGAUGGAUUUUAGGGCUGAUGCUCCUGUGUUUGAUGGAAGGGGGAGACAGGGCCCUGCUGUGGGCAGCGUGGGGAGCACAGGGACAGGGAUGGGACAGGAGGACAAAGCCAGGUCAGGCCCAGGGUGGGUUCAGGGUUCCUGCGCAGGACAGGAGCACCACAAGCACUGGGCUGGAGUUGUCAGAGCCCAUCACUGUGAGGGACUCUCCUCCCUGCCCCACAGACCCCCCUUCUGCUCCAGAGCAGCCCCCCUGUGCCCAGGCUGGUCACCAUGGGGAGCUGUGGGACCACAAGUCACCUCGAUGGCAGAGGAUGCAGCUGGCAAAUGUCACCCUGCACAGCCUGCACAGUGGGGACAGGCCACCAGUGCCCCCCUCAGAGCAGGGCAGGAGGGCAGAGAGGCCCCACCAAACAACCAGGAUGCUCCUUUGCUCUGCUCCUGCACCUCAGGGCUCCCUGUCCCUGCUCCCCAGUCCCCGUGGCUGGCAGGAGUUGAUCUCUCUGUCUGUCCAUCCCUCUUUGCUGGUGUCCCCAGAGCUGUCUGGAGAGGGGCACGAUGUGCAGACCCCCUUUCAGCUGCGGUGGGGGACGUGUGGCCAGGGCACCCCAGCAGUGACACGGGCAGAGGUGCAGCCCUGGGGGCACUGUCCUGCCCAGGGUGCUCCAGCUCAAGCUGGUCAUGGCCCCUGCUUUGUGGGCACAGCCACACUGGCUGGACACUGGCCAGGAGUCCCAUAAGUCACCACAGCCCCGAGGAUGUCCCCACAGCCCCGAGGACGUCCCCACAGCCUGUAAUGUCUACUGUGAACAUGGCAAGUGUGCAACCA